GAAGUGUUCCACAAGCCAGCCAGCGGCCUCUUCUCCGCCGCGCGGUCAAAGCUUCAGGGGGCGGGGCUUGGCGAGGGUGCAGCACUGCUGGCCACGCCCCCUUCUGUGAUCGCUCCUCGGGGUGACAGCUGCCACGCGGAGUGAGGGAAACUGGGUGACCUCCCUUGUUGAUUUUUCCCCUCCCUCUUCGUUUAUUUUUUUAUUUCUUUUUUUAACAUUCAUUUUCUUGUUUACACAUUUGUAAUUAAAAAUAUUCUUACUGUGAUGUGGAGGCUUGAAUGCUAUCUGCGUUGUUAAUAAAAGCAUUUUGCAGAAAACGACUGAACCUGGAGGUACAGAUAGCGGUCGGAAUGAAUGAGAGAAAAAGAGAAAGACUGAACUGACUGAAAACUCACAGACGUACAGACUAGCAGCCAGACAAGACGACGGAAGAUAGAGAUCAACGUACGCAAAAAAGGGGGAGAUACUCUUGCAGAAAUACAACCAGAAACAGAUUGCCACAGAACAUCGACUUUUCGAGAAGAGGGCAAUAAAGCAGCAUCACUUGCAAGAUUUCGUGGAAAAUGUGUUCUGCCACUUUAAAGAUGGGUCUUCACGGGAUGUAAGGAGCAUUGUCUGCAACGACUGAAAGGCGAUACUCUGGAGUAUAGUACGGAACCCAGCAAGCAAGCUCCGCGUCCAGCCGAUGCUACAACAGGACGUCGCCGACACUGACGCCCAGCCCAGCACGUGCACCGACAUUCACACCACGGAGCGGCGCCAUGUCACGCACGUGUCGCACGUGCAACGCGCUCGAAUGCAUGUGGCAGCUGCCAGCCCGACGGCUGUCCAUAAAAAAGUAUCACUACUACGAACAUGGCCAUUUCUGCACCCUUAAAGGCCUAGUGUGGUGCAGCCUCUUAAAACAAAUGAUUUGGGGGAGAGAAAAAAAACAAAACAAAAAAACAAAAACAAACAAAACAACAACAACAAAAAACCAAACAACAAAAAACAAACAAACGCAAGAAACUAUUUCUUCAAAUCUGGGUGGACAAUACAUUUCCGAGACACGAGUAGAAACAUUACUAUGCACAGAAAGAAGUCAUCAAUCAAACAUCAAAAUCUUGAAGGUUCCAGCCAUUGGUAGGCGGUUCAGUGUACAAACGUGACGUCACGAUGUUAACCGCUCUCUGUGCAUGGGGAUGUUUGUCGACGUGUUUCGCGAAGGAGAGGAGAUGGUGGUUGGUGCACUUUGGUCAACAGUAUCGUGCACUGAGCUUUGCCGAGUCAUUAGAAAACAAAUUGCACCUCGCGAGAUCUUUAAGGGAGAUGUCUGGGCUGUGUCUCUCUCUGGUUUAAUAAAUGUGAAGAGGAAAUAAAACAACAGCUAAAUGUAAUAUUGUUCUUUAAACUUAUUUUUCCUAUCUGGCUUGGGAUAAUGGCAAGACACAAUUAAAUAAUAAAGAUAUCAG